rnacentral:rRNA from 1 species
GACGAACGCUGGCGGCGUGCUUAACACAUGCAAGUCGAACGGAAAGGCCCUGCUCUUGUGGGGUGCUCGAGUGGCGAAAGGGUGAGUAAAACGUGAGUAACAUGCCCUUGACUUUGGGAUAACUUCAGGAAAAUGGGGCGAAUACCGGAUAGGAGCACCUGCUGCAUGGGGGGGGAGGGAAAGUUUCGGCGGUUGGGGAUGGACACGCGGCUUAUCAGCUUGUUGGUGGGGUAGUGGCUUACCAAGGCUUUGACGGGUAGCCAGCCUGAGGGGGUGACCGGCCCCAUUGGGACUCAGAUACGGCCCAGACUCCUACGGGAGGCAGCAGUGGGGAAUAUUGCACAAUGGGCGGAAGCCUUAUGCAGCAACGCCGCGUGCUGGAUGACGGCCUUCGGGUUGUAAACCGCUUUCGCCUGUGACGAAGCGUGAGUGACGGUAAUGGGUAAAGAAGCACCGGCUAACUACGUG